rnacentral:lncRNA from 1 species
GAGGCCUUUUCCUCGGAGUGGGAAGUUCCGAUCUAUGAUGUCAGAUGUUCUUAGGUGACCUCAAGUGCUGGGUGUGACAGUGAAGGGAGAAGCCUAUAGAGACAAGGUUCUACAGGUUGAUGAGGUGGACACAAGCCAUCCACAUAGACAUUGGAGUUACUCAGGAAGAUAGGAGGACUUCAGGAGAGGAAGAAGAACGAAGAUGCUGUGAUUGAGGGGAGUGACCAGAAGAGGGAUUUUGUAAUAGAGGAGAAGUUGAAGACAGGAGAGCUUGAGGCUUGGAGACACGAGAUCGUCUACACAGAGUACUGGCAGUGAGUGAAGAGAAUGCAAACCGCAUCUCCCAACUCUGAGGUUCAUAGAAAAUGUGAAACUUCCUCUCAAAGUGGCUCCGGGUGAAACCAUAUCUUCAGAGAAGUUUCAGUGAAGAUAGGAAGUAAAGGAAACUUCCAUGAAGACUUGAACAGUAGGGCAAUUGGUAACUCAUUGUCAACGCAAAUAACCAAUAACCACUCUAUUGGCCAUUCCAUCCAUGAAAACAUGGUUUAUGAGUACAUUGGAUAUUUUGACAUACUGGACAAGCAACCGCUGAAUUUCUUCCAUUGUUCCCAGGGACUUUUCUUAAUAAUUGGUCAUCUAAGUUUAUCGAUACACAAUGGGAUCUCACCAGCCCGAGUUAAAUAAUAUUUCCAGUGAGCAUGACUUGACCCUGUGCCUGGUUACCGAGCAGUCUCUCUAAAUCUCUACUUGAUGCCUCUUGUGCGUGCUUCAGGUCACCAGUAGCACAGAAGCCCAUGUGAGUAUCCCUAGCAAACAUCAAAAAGACAUUCCAAAUAAUGUCAAAAUUUUGACUUUUUUGCUUGACUGAGAUAUUUUUGAUGUGUAGUAUUUUAAUUCAGUACUUUUCUUCAAUUUAUCAUUAAUACAAUAGUAAAGCCUGUAACUAUAAUACAGAAAGUAGGUAUAUAAUUUUACUCAGGGUCUUUAAAGCAUUUUAUUAAGUUGAAAUUAGUACCACGCAGUUGUUUUCAUCAUAGAAGGGCAAGAAAACUCUAAGAGAACCACGUCUAAUAGCCCUGACUCUAGACUUUGUGAAGCUCAGUCUGAUUUAAAUGCUUUUCAAGAUGCUACCCUGUACACAGACAAUUUAAAUGUGUGAUAAUAAUCCAGUUGUGUGUGGUUAU